rnacentral:rRNA from 1 species
GACGUAGGGUGCGAGCGUUGUCCGGAUUUAUUGGGCGUAAAGAGCUCGUAGGCGGCUCGUCGCGUCGACCGUGAAAACCCGCGGCUUAACUGCGGGCUUGCGGUUGAUACGGGCGGGCUAGAGUUCGGUAGGGGAGACUGGAAUUCCUGGUGUAGCGGUGAAAUGCGCAGAUAUCAGGAGGAACACCGGUGGCGAAGGCGGGUCUCUGGGCCGAUACUGACGCUGAGGAGCGAAAGCGUGGGGAGCGAACAGGA